rnacentral:tRNA from 1 species
GAGGGGAUAGUUUAAUUGGUAAAAGAUGAGCUUUGCACGUCCAAUUUAUGGAUUCAAAUUCCAUUUUCUCCA